rnacentral:rRNA from 1 species
GACGAACGCUGGCGGCGUGCCUAAUACAUGCAAGUUGAGCGAUGAAGAUUGGUGCUUGCCCCAAUUUGAAGAGCAGCGAACGGGUGAGUAACGCGUGGGGAAUCUGCCUUUGAGCGGGGGACAACAUUUGGAAACGAAUGCUAAUACCGCAUAACAACUUUAAACAUAAGUUUUAAGUUUGAAAGAUGCAAUUGCAUCACUCAAAGAUGAUCCCGCGUUGUAUUAGCUAGUUGGUGAGGUAAAGGCUCACCAAGGCGAUGAUACAUAGCCGACCUGAGAGGGUGAUCGGCCACAUUGGGACUGAGACACGGCCCAAACUCCUACGGGAGGCAGCAGUAGGGAAUCUUCGGCAAUGGACGAAAGUCUGACCGAGCAACGCCGCGUGAGGGAAGAAGGUUGUCGGAUCGUAAAACUCUGUUGGUAGAGAAGAACGUUGGUGAGAGUGGAAAGCUCAUCAAGUGACGGUAACUACCCAGAAAGGGACGGCUAACUACGUG